CCGCACUCUUAAACCCUCCUGGCGGCUCGGUGCCCCCCGGAUACGAGCGAGUGCGAGAGCACGCGCAGGGGUCCAAAGGGCUGCGCCCCCCCCCGUGGCGCAGCCUCAUUUCAGACCUGCGACAUCCU